rnacentral:tRNA from 1 species
GGUAUAGCUCAGCUGGUAGAGCACCUGGUUGUGGUCCAGGAUGUCGCGGGUUCAAGUCCCGUUAC